GUCCUGGCAGUAAACGAUGUCGACUGGGCGCGCGCGGGCUUGACCCCGUGCGUGCCGGAGCUAACGCGGUAAGUCGACCGCCUGGGGAGUACGGCCGCAAGGCUAAAACUCAAAGGAAUUGACGGGGGCCCCGCACAAGCAGCGGAGCGUGCGGUUUAAUUCGACGCAACGCGCAGAACCUUACCAGGCCUUGACAUGCCGCUGCAAGCGCACGGAAACGUGUGACCUUCGAGGGUGCGGCACAGGUGCUGCAUGGCUGUCGU
rnacentral:rRNA from 1 species